UACGGAGGAUGCGAGCGUUAUCCGGAUUUAUUGGGUUUAAAGGGUGCGUAGGCGUGAUGCCAAGUCAGCGGUAAAAAUGCGGUGCUCAACGCCGUCGAGCCGUUGAAACUGGCGUUCUUGAGUGGGCGAGAAGUAUGCGGAAUGCGUGGUGUAGCGGUGAAAUGCAUAGAUAUCACGCAGAACUCCGAUUGCGAAGGCAGCAUACCGGCGCCCUACUGACGCUGAGGCACGAAAGCGUGGGUAUCGAACAGG
rnacentral:rRNA from 1 species